rnacentral:rRNA from 1 species
GGAGGGUGCAAGGGUUGUUCGGAAUUAUUGGGCGUAAAGCGCGUGUAGGCGGCUUGGCAAGUCGGGUGUGAAAUCCCGGGGCCCAACCCCGGAACUGCAUUCGAAACUGCCUCGCUAGAGUCCCGGAGAGGAGAGCGGAAUUCCCGGUGUAGAGGUGAAAUUCGUAGAUAUCGGGAGGAACACCAGCGGCGAAGGCGGCUCUCUGGACGGUGACUGACGCUGAGACGCGAAAGCGUGGGGAGCAAACAGGAUUAGAUACCCUGGGUAGUCCACGCCGUAAACGUUGGGUGCUAGGUGUCGCGGGUAUUGACCCCCUGCGGUGCCGUCGCUAACGCAUUAAGCACCCCGCCUGGGGAGUACGGUCGCAAGGCUA